rnacentral:tmRNA from 1 species
UAAACGCGCGUGUAAUAAGCGGUUCGGACCCGGGGGCGGUACCCGGCGUCUCCACCAAUCCCUUCGUCAUUAGCGAAGUGUGGGGACGAAACAGGAUCGACGGACGUGUAAAGACGAGGCCUUUACCCGCUUGAGCUGCGUUAGAAGCUCAAUCAACAAUAGUUGCUAAUGACAACUUUGCUGAAGGUGAACUGCUCGCAGCGUAAGCUGUGCUCGGUUUUCCGACUUUAACUCCUAGGGGUUCAGAUCCUUAGGCGGGGCCCGGAGGCGCCUGGCAACAGAAGCCUCCA